CCUACGGGAGGCAGCAGUGGGGGAUAUUGCACAAUGGGGGAAACCCUGAUGCAGCAACGCCGCGUGAGUGAUGAAGGCCUUCGGGUCGUAAAGCUCUGUCCUCAAGGAAGAUAAUGACGGUACUUGAGGAGGAAGCCCCGGCUAACUACGUGCCAGCAGCCGCGGUAAUACGUAGGGGGCUAGCGUUAUCCGGAAUUACUGGGCGUAAAGGGUGCGUAGGUGGAUUCUUAAGUCAGAGGUGAAAGGCUAGGGCUCAACCGUAGUAAGCCUUUGAAACUGGGAAACUUGAGGGCAGGAGAGGAGAGUGGAAUUCCUAGUGUAGCGGUGAAAGGCGUAGAUAUUAGGAGGAACACCAGGGGCGAAGGCGGCUCUCUGGACUGUAACUGACACUGAGGCACGAAAGCGUGGGGAGCAAACAGGAUUAGAGACCCGAGUAGUC
rnacentral:rRNA from 1 species